rnacentral:rRNA from 1 species
CAGCAGCCGCGGUAAUACGAAGGGUGCAAGCGUUACUCGGAAUUACUGGGCGUAAAGCGUGCGUAGGUGGUGGUUUAAGUCCGUUGUGAAAGCCCUGGGCUCAACCUGGGAAUUGCAGUGGAUACUGGGUCACUAGAGUGUGGUAGAGGAUAGUGGAAUUUCCGGUGUAGCAGUGAUAUGCGUAGAGAUCGGAAGGAACAUCUGUGGCGAAGGCGACUAUCUGGGCCAACACUGACACUGAGGCACGAAAGCGUGGGGAGCAAACAGGAUUAGAUACCCGCGUAGUCCCUGUCUCUUAUAC